CAGCAGCCGCGGGAAUACGGAGGGUGCAAGCGUUAAUCGGAAUUACUGGGCGUAAAGCGUGCGCAGGCGGUUAUAUAAGACAGAUGUGAAAUCCCCGGGCUCAACCUGGGACCUGCAUUUGUGACUGUAUAGCUAGAGUACGGUAGAGGGGGAUGGAAUUCCGCGUGUAGCAGUGAAAUGCGUAGAUAUGCGGAGGAACACCGGUGGCGAAGGCAAUCCCCUGGACCUGUACUGACGCUCAUGCACGAAAGCGUGGGGAGCAAACAGGAUUAGAUACCCCCGUAGUCCCUGUCUCUUAUAC
rnacentral:rRNA from 1 species